rnacentral:rRNA from 1 species
CAUGUCCUUUUGAUUAUAAUUUAAGGUCUAAUCUGCCCACUGAUUUUUAAAUGGCCGCAGUAAUUUGACUGUGCUAAGGUAGCAUAAUCAUUAGUUUUUUAAUUGAAAGCUGGAAUGAAUGAUUGGAUGAAAUAAAAACUGUCUCAAUUUUAAUAAAUUAGAAUUUUAUUUUUAAGUUAAAAAGCUUAAAUAUAUUUAAAAGACGAGAAGACCCUAUAGAGUUUUAUAUAAUAAUAAUAAUUAAAAUUAUAAUAUAUUAAAAUUUUGUUAUUUUUAUUAUAUUUUGUUGGGGUGACAAAAAAAUUUAAUAAACUUUUUUUUUAUAAAAACAUAUGUAAAUGAUUAGAUGAUCCAUUAUUAAUGAUUAUAAGAUUAAAUUACCUUAGGGAUAACAGCGUAAUUUUUUUUAAGAGUUCAAAUCGAAAAAAAAGAUUGCGACCUCGAUGUUGGAUUAAAGUUUAAUUUUGGUGUAGCAGCUAAAAAUUUGAGUCUGUUCGACUCUUGAAACUUUACAUGAUCUGAGU